UUGGUGCAGGUACAGACAACUAGCUAUGAAUGAUAAAUACUGGAGUUUUGGUGCAGGUACAGACAACUAGCUAUGAAUGAUAAAUACUGUAGUUUUGGUGCAGGUACAGCCAACUAGCUAUGAAGGAUAAAUACUGGAGUUUUGGUGCAGGUACAGACAACUAGCUAUGAAGGAUAAAUACUGUAGUUUUGGUGCAGGUACAGACAACUAGCUAUGAAGGAUAAAUACUGGAGUUUUGGUGCAGGUACAGACAACUAGCUAUGAAGGAUAAAUACUGUAGUUUUGGUGCAGGUACAGACAACUAGCUAUGAAGGAUAAAUACUGUAGUUUUGGUGCAGGUACAGACAACUAGCUAUGAAGGAUAAAUACUGGAGUUUUGGUGCAUGUACAGACAACUAGCUAUGAAGGAUAAAUACUGGAGUUUUGGUGCAGGUACAGACAACUAGC